CAGGUAGCCAGAAAGGUUUAAGGGAAAGAGCUUUGGCAUCACAUGAACUUGGGUUUUGAAACUCAGCUCUGUUACUCACUACCCAGUGUGAUCCUGGGCAAGUUUACCUCCUGUCUGAGAAACAGCUCCUGGUCAGAGAUGAGACCCACUGAGUAGUAACAGAAGAAGCUGGGCUCAUGCAGGACUUAGUACAGUGGCCCAUAAUAAGCAUUGUGCAAAUGGUAGCUCUCACAAUAGAAGGGACCUGACUGACAGUAGGAACUGUUUAAUCCCAUUUUUCCAAUUCUAGGUUGGGUACCCCCAUCAACUUCCAUGAACCCUUAAAGAGGGAUGGCCAAAGAAUUCAGAUGUUGCUUUCCCACCAUUCCACACAUUGGCCUCUCAAAGAAUGUAGCUGUGGUCCUCACAACCUAGUCUUCCUGUUUAAGAAUGUCACUUUGUCAUCACAAACCCGAUCUUCCUACUGAAGCAAGAUGCCUUCUGAACAAGUAGACUCAGAAACACUUUGCCACAGGGUGAUGUCAGCUCCAGCCGUCCUAUUGAAAACCUGCGGGAGUCCUCAUGGGAAGUCCGCACGCAGGGCUUUGGGUACCGUUCUGCAUAUGAGUCUUGGGAGUUUGUGAUUAACAGGUCACGCCUACUUCUCCAGCCAGCUUUGCCGCACCCUAAUCUGUCUCAGGGCUCUUUCUAGGAGAUUUUUUUUAUUACAUUGGCAACA
rnacentral:lncRNA from 1 species